UACGAAGGGGGCUAGCGUUGCUCGGAAUCACUGGGCGUAAAGCGCACGUAGGCGGCUUUCUAAGUCAGGGGUGAAAUCCUGGAGCUCAACUCCAGAACUGCCUUUGAUACUGGAGAGCUUGAGUCCGGGAGAGGUGAGUGGAACUCCGAGUGUAGAGGUGAAAUUCGUAGAUAUUCGGAAGAACACCAGUGGCGAAGGCGGCUCACUGGCCCGGUACUGACGCUGAUGUGCGAAAGCGUGGGGAGCAGACAGG
rnacentral:rRNA from 1 species